AAAUUGAAGAGUUUGAUCAUGGCUCAGAUUGAACGCUGGCGGCAGGCCUAACACAUGCAAGUCGAGCGGUAACACAGAGAGCUUGCUCUCGGGUGACGAGCGGCGGACGGGUGAGUAAUGUCUGGGAAACUGCCUGAUGGAGGGGGAUAACUACUGGAAACGGUAGCUAAUACCGCAUAACGUCGCAAGACCAAAGAGGGGGACCUUCGGGCCUCUUGCCAUCRGAUGUGCCCAGAUGGGAUUAGCUAGUAGGUGGGGUAACGGCUCACCUAGGCGACGAUCCCUAGCUGGUCUGAGAGGAUGACCAGCCACACUGGAACUGAGACACGGUCCAGACUCCUACGGGAGGCAGCAGUGGGGAAUAUUGCACAAUGGGCGCAAGCCUGAUGCAGCCAUGCCGCGUGUAUGAAGAAGGCCUUCGGGUUGUAAAGUACUUUCAGCGGGGAGGAAGGCGAUAAGGUUAAUAACCUUGUCGAUUGACGUUACCCGCAGAAGAAGCACCGGCUAACUCCGUGCCAGCAGCCGCGGUAAUACGGAGGGUGCAAGCGUUAAUCGGAAUUACUGGGCGUAAAGCGCACGCAGGCGGUCUGUCAAGUCGGAUGUGAAAUCCCCGGGCUCAACCUGGGAACUGCAUUCGAAACUGGCAGGCUAGAGUCUUGUAGAGGGGGGUAGAAUUCCAGGUGUAGCGGUGAAAUGCGUAGAGAUCUGGAGGAAUACCGGUGGCGAAGGCGGCCCCCUGGACAAAGACUGACGCUCAGGUGCGAAAGCGUGGGGAGCAAACAGGAUUAGAUACCCUGGUAGUCCACGCCGUAAACGAUGUCGACUUGGAGGUUGUGCCCUUGAGGCGUGGCUUCCGGAGCUAACGCGUUAAGUCGACCGCCUGGGGAGUACGGCCGCAAGGUUAAAACUCAAAUGAAUUGACGGGGGCCCGCACAAGCGGUGGAGCAUGUGGUUUAAUUCGAUGCAACGCGAAGAACCUUACCUACUCUUGACAUCCAGAGAACUUWSCAGAGAUGSWUUGGUGCCUUCGGGAACUCUGAGACAGGUGCUGCAUGGCUGUCGUCAGCUCGUGUUGUGAAAUGUUGGGUUAAGUCCCGCAACGAGCGCAACCCUUAUCCUUUGUUGCCAGCGGUCCGGCCGGGAACUCAAAGGAGACUGCCAGUGAUAAACUGGAGGAAGGUGGGGAUGACGUCAAGUCAUCAUGGCCCUUACGAGUAGGGCUACACACGUGCUACAAUGGCGCAUACAAAGAGAAGCGACCUCGCGAGAGCAAGCGGACCUCAUAAAGUGCGUCGUAGUCCGGAUUGGAGUCUGCAACUCGACUCCAUGAAGUCGGAAUCGCUAGUAAUCGUGGAUCAGAAUGCCACGGUGAAUACGUUCCCGGGCCUUGUACACACCGCCCGUCACACCAUGGGAGUGGGUUGCAAAAGAAGUAGGUAGCUUAACCUUCGGGAGGGCGCUUACCACUUUGUGAUUCAUGACUGGGGUGAAGUCGUAACAAGGUAACCGUAGGGGAACCUGCGGUUGGAUCACCUCCUUA
rnacentral:rRNA from 1 species